rnacentral:rRNA from 1 species
AGCGAACGCUGGCGGCAGGCCUAACACAUGCAAGUCGAACGAACCCUUCGGGGUUAGUGGCGGACGGGUGAGUAACACGUGGGAACGUGCCUUUAGGUUCGGAAUAACUCAGGGAAACUUGUGCUAAUACCGAAUGUGCCCUUCGGGGGAAAGAUUUAUCGCCUUUAGAGCGGCCCGCGUCUGAUUAGCUAGUUGGUGAGGUAAUGGCUCACCAAGGCUACGAUCAGUAGCUGGUCUGAGAGGAUGACCAGCCACAUUGGGACUGAGACACGGCCCAAACUCCUACGGGAGGCAGCAGUGGGGAAUCUUGCGCAAUGGGCGAAAGCCUGACGCAGCCAUGCCGCGUGGAUGAUGAAGGUCUUAGGAUUGUAAAAUCCUUUCACCGGUGAAGAUAAUGACUGUAGCCGGAGAAGAAGCCCCGGCUAACUUCGUGCCAGCCGCCGCCGUAACAC